CAGCACCCAGCAAAACACAAGGAGAGGCCCUGAAAAGUAACUGGAAAAUCACAGACCGUUCUGGCAAGCAGAGUUGAUGAGAAACAGGCAAAAAUCUCCAGCCCUACAGAGACUGAGCGGUGCAUCGAGUCCCUGAUUGCUGUUUUCCAGAAGUAUGCUGGAAAGGAUGGUUAUAACUACACUCUCUCCAAGACAGAGUUCCUAAGCUUCAUGAAUACAGAACUGGCUGCCUUCACAAAGAACCAGAAGGACCCUGGUGUCCUUGACCGCAUGAUGAAGAAACUGGACACCAACAGUGAUGGUCAGCUAGAUUUCUCAGAAUUUCUUAAUCUGAUUGGUGGCUUAGCUAUGGCUUGCCAUGACUCCUUCCUCAAGGCUGUCCCUUCCCAGAAGCGGACCUGAGGACCCCUUGGGCCUGGCCUUCAAAGCCACCACCUUUCCUUCCAGCCUUUCUGUCAUCAUCUCCACAGCCCACCCAUCCCCUGAGCCCAGCACACUAACCACCUCAUGCAGGUCCCACCUGCCAAUAGUAAUAAAGCAAUGUCACUUUUUUAAAACAUGAA
rnacentral:sRNA from 1 species